AUGGAAGAUGAAAUGGACAAACUGGAACAUAUUAGAACUGAACACUUUGAAAAGAAAGAGCAGGAUAUGCAAACUGAAAAAAAGAAGCUAGAAGAAAUGGCAUCUCAACUUAAAGAAGAGAGAAUACAUCUUGAAAGUCUUAACAAGGAGAUCAAUAUUCAAAAAUGUAAUCAACAAAAGCAAGCAACUGAAUUUGAAAUGGAGAAGACUGAUUUAGAGAAAACUAAAACUGAAAUUGCAGAAGCCAACAAACUUCUUGCAGACCAGCAAGAAAGGAAUGAGAUGACAAUAAAAGAGAUGCGGACAGAGAGAGACGCUCUUGAAGAAACGAGGAUAAACAUCUCAAAACAAGUGGAGACUAUUCAAAAAGCAAAUGAAAGUCUUUCUCAUAGAGAAAGUGAACUUGCAAAGCUGCAGGAAUACAUUUUACAACAACAGCAUGAAAUGGAUGAACUGAAAAACACAAUCAUGAUGGAAAUGAGUCAACUGGACAGGAGACAAACUGACAUUGAUCAAUUACAGCGAGAGGUUGAUGAUCUAAUGGAAUUCACAAAGAUAGAAAUGACCAAUGUAGAAAGAGAAAGAGUUGAAAUGAUGGCACAGAAGAGAAAUAUAGAGAUAGAUAUUGUCAGUCUAGAGGAAGAAAAGAUGAUCUGUGAACAACUGAGACUAAAAGUACUUGAGGAAAAGGAUCAGAUUGAAAAAGACAGAAAGCUGUUGACCAAAAAUGUGGAUCUUAUGGAGAGACGAAAAAUGGAUAUGGAAAAAGAAUUUAAAAAUCUAAAAGUUGAGAAACACACACUUAAAAAUGAGAAGGAGGAACUAGAGAGGAUGAAAACUGACCUACAAAGAAAAGCUGAAGACAUGGAGAAGACAAAGAAUGAAAGACACAGGGCAGAAGAGAUGACAGCUAAAUUUAAAAAUGAAUUAGACACCAGUAGUAUUCCAGCAGACUACCAACAGGUGGAAGAGCUCAUGGAGGAGACAAAGAGGCAAAGAAAGGAAAUUCACUCUUCCAAAGACUUGUUUCAAGAACAAAGAUCUGAGCUGGAGAAAACCAAGGCUGAGAUAAACCAAGCCGUGGAAGAACUAGAGAGACAAAGAACUAAUUUACAGACAGACAAAGACAUUUUGAAUCAAAUGAGUAUAAAUAACUUAAGACAAAUAGCUCAAAUCGAAGAUGAGAAGGAAAAAAUACAACAAAAAGAGAGUGAACUAGAAAAUGAGCAAGAUGAGUUGGAAAAGAAGAGAGAAGGUAUUAAGAAGUUAAAUCUAGAAGUUCAGAAAGAAAGUCAGAGGGCUGUAGAAGAAUUAGAAAAAGAGAGGCAACAAUUUGCUAUGGAGAUCAAAAUGAAAAAUGACAACCUGGAUAAAAUACAAGCUGAGAUAGAAAGACAAAAACAAGCCAUUGCUGCAGGUGAAGCAAUUGUUACAAAGGAAAAGAUGGACCUGGAAAAAAUCAAGGAACAUUUUAAAAGAAAGUCUGAAGAGAUUGACAUCACUCUGGCAAAUCUGCAGAAAGAGAGAGAUAGUCUUAAUCAGAUGAGUGUGGAGAUCCUAAAGCAAAAACAUGACAUAGAGAGAGAAAGAUGUGAAUGGUUGGAGACACUAAAAAGGGACACUGAAAAUGUGGAACAGCUGAGGAAAGAGCUUAUGAAUGAAAAGGAACUGUCUGAGAAAAGCAGAACGCAACUGAAAAGAGACAUACAUGAUAUGGAACAAAAUAAAUCAAAUCUACAUAAAGAAAUGGAGGAGAUAAAAGUUAAAAAACAGGAUAUCCAAAAUGAAAGACUUCAUCUAGAGCAAAUGAAAGCUGAGUUUGCAAAAGAAAGAAAAACAAAUGAUGAAAUGUUAAGAGAGGCUAAAAAAGAAAUGGAGGAAUAUGAGGACAUCAAGUCUAAUAUUUUAAUCCAAAAAGAAGAGUUUGAGACUAAACGACAAUCAGAAGUAGAAGAACUCAUUGACAUGAGAGCUGAAAUUCUCAAACAGAAAGAGGAAUUAGAGGACAACUUGCAAAAGACUAAACGUGAGAUGAAAGAACUGAAGCUUCUGCAGGAUGAAACUGAUAGCAAGAGGAAAGAUCUAGAUCACAAAAUGAGACAGGCAACGAGAAAGAGAGAUGAGCUGGAGAAAAUGAGAGCUGAUAUUGAAAGUGCAAAUGAGAAACUUGAAAUGGACAGGGUCAUGUUAAGUAUAGAGCGUGAUCACAUGGAGCAAAUGAAAGCAGAAAAGCAACGGGCGGCAGAAGAACUACAAUCUCAUAUGGAAGAAAGAUUUGGAGAUCUGGAAGAGAAAGAACAAAUAAACACCAAGAUACAGAGGCUUAUUCAAGAGGCUGAAAAGACUAGGGAAAUGGCCUGGAGAACAAAACAUGACCUGGAAAUAAGCAUGCAGAGAGAUGUUAAUGUUCAAGUGGAUUCAGAGGAAAGGCAGGAAAUUAGUUCUUACAUACAGAAGCUAAUACAGGAAAUUGAGCAUGUCAGAGAGGUUCUCAGAAGAAUGAUAGAUGAAGUCAAGGCUGCUAGAAAAGAAAGAUUUGAACUGGAGAACAUGAGACUGGAAGUCGAAGCCAUGAAACAGAGCAUGAAGGAAGAAUAUGAGCAACAGAACAAGGAGAUUGAAAAAGAGAAGCUGCAAACUGAGAAUGCCAAAGACUUGUUGACCAAAGGGCGAAGUGAUCUUGAGCAGAAUAGAGCAGAUUUGGAGAGGCAAAAACAAGAAAUGGCAUUGGACAAACAAAAACUCCAUGAUGAAAUAAAACUGCUAAAGAAAGAAAAUGUUGACAUGAAGAAACAACAUGAAAUUCUUAAAAACCUUCUAGAAGAAGCAACUAGAGAAAGCAAAGUACAAACAGUUAAACCUUCUAUAAAAAACAAAGCAAUGAGGAGAGAUUCAGAGGAAUUAAUGAAGAAAAUGGAAGCAUUAAGCAUGGACGACCAGCAGGAAGAGAGCGAGAAUCAAACAGAUGAAAUUAACAGACAAAUAGACAAACUGACAGAGUUGAAGGCUGAGCUGGAUCAACAGCAGAUAGAACUUCAGAAAACCAAAGCAGACUUAAAACAUCAGAUGGAAGAGCUAGAAAAUACGAGGUCUGAGAUAUUGCAACAUGAGAAGGACACAAGAGAGGUGGAACUGAUGGAUAUACAGAGCCAGAGAGAAGUCAUAGAAGCAAGGAUUCAGAAAAUGAUGCAUGAGAAGGGAGAACUGGAAGUCUUAAGGUCUGAAAUAGUCCUAGAAAAAAAAGAUCUGGAGCAGAAGAUGAAACAAGUGAUAAGAAAAAGGGAUGAGAUGGAGAAAAUGAGGACUGAGAUAGCAAAGGCCAGAGAGGAGAUCAACAGAGACCGGCAGGAGCUGGAAAUACUCAGGAAUGAUGCAAGAGAGGAUUUUAAGCUUUUGGUGGAGAAAACUGUGAAUCUAGAAGAUGAGGAAAGCACCAAUGCUGACAUCCAAAGACUAAUUUUAGAGGUUGUGAAAAUAAAGGAGAUGGUGAGAAAUCUAAAAGUUGACAUGGAGAGCAGAAUGAAGGAAAGUAAGGUCGUGAGAGAUGACAAAGAAAACUUCACAUCUGAGAUCCAGAGGCUCAUUCAAGAUAUUGGACAAAUACGGGAAAAUCUUGGAAGCUUUAGAAAAGCGAUAGAAACCACCAAAAGAGACAAGAAUGAAUUGGAGAAGAUGAGAGCAGAACUUGCAGAAAAGCAACAGGAGGAAGAGAAUAUGAGAGAAAUGCUGCAGAAAGAAAGAGAAGAACUGGAGCAGCUAAAGGAUCAGAUAAACAGAGAAAAAGAGGAUGUGGAGAGCAAAGGAGAGCUGAUUAAGUUGGUUAAGAGCAAGGAAGAACUGCAAAUGGUUACUGAGGAACUCUUAAGGAAUAAGAGUAAUCUGCAACAGCUCAACAGAGAUAUACAAAACCUAUGGCAAACCAUGGAAGAAAUGCAAACCCUGCAUGAAAAGAAAAGGUCUGAACUGGAAGGCAUUACUGCUGAAGUAAAGCAGGGAGAGCAGACACUGGAGAAGCAGAAACAUGAGUUGGAAGAGAAAAGUUGGAUUGUUCAAGAAAUAGAGAAAAAGAAAGAUGCACUUGAAAAGAUCAAUAUGGAAAUACUGAGGAAGCAAGAAGAUAUAGAAAAAGAAAUUGACAAUUUAAGGCAAGAAAAGCAAGAGCUUAAGCUCUCUAGAGGUGAACUACAGAGACAGAGAGUUGAUGUUGAAUCUUCAAAACAUGCUUUGAUCUUGGAGAAGGAUCGUUUAAAUGAUGAAAAAGCUGAAAUGAAUCAACAAAGGCAUGAAGUUAGUGCUGCCAUGAAGUCUUAUGAAGUGGAACUGAAAAAUCUAGAAAAGGUGAGGAAUGAACUAGAAAGUGACAGGGCUAAACUUGAUGAAAAGCUCCACAGUAUAACAGAAAUGGAGAAGAAACUACAAGAGAUGAAUAGUCAAUUAAACAAAGAAAAAGAGCAAGUGGAAGAAAUGAAGCAGAUGAUCAGCACAGAAAGACAUUUGAUUGAACAAGAAAAUUCUGAACUUCAGAAGAAGUCCGAGAUCACUGAUAGACUCAUUCAGGAAGCAAACGAAGAGAGAGACAGGUUAACAGACCUCAGUCUAAAACUUCAAACACAAAGAGAAGAAAUAGAGAAUGUCAUCACAGAACUAGAGACCAAGAAGAAAGAUCUCAAUAUAAUCAGCGCAGAACUUCAAGAUGAUAAGAUACGACUGAAAAAUGACAAGGAUGUUUAUGAAAAGGAAAUGACACAAAUACAGCUUAAGAGGGAAGUGUUAGUGAGAGAAACAGAGGACCUGGAAAGAAAAGCCUUAAAGCAGAAAGAACAAGAUGAGACAGCAAAACAAGAGAUUCAAAAUGACAAAGAGGCUCUAGAGCAAAUGAAGGUGGACAUUCUGAAGGAAAAAGAUAAUGUUGACAAAGAGAAGAAAAAUGUACUUUCAGAAAAACAGAAACUGGAUACACUUCAAGAAGAACUGCAAAGCAAGAAAAGCGAGCUUGAAAACAGAGUUAAAUCUUUCAUGGAAAAGCAGCAGCAGCUAAAACAGACUCAAGAUGAAAUGGAUGAAAUCAAGAAAGGGAUUCAAAGUAAUCUGGAAAGAAAAGAGGCUGAAAUUCAAGAGGAGAGACAGCGAUUAGUGGAAAUGGGUGAAACAAUUAGAAGAGAAUGCAAUGAAUACAGAAAACUGACUGACGAAGUACAGAAAGAAAAGGAACAGUUUGAAAUCAGCAAAACGUUGAUGGAUCAAGAGAAGGCCGAAUUUGAAAACAUGAAAAAUAAUCUGGAGAAGCAAUUACAAAAUCUAAGACAUGAGAAACUGAGUGUACAAGUUGAGAAGCAUGCACUAGAACAGACAAGAGCAGAAUCCAUAGAGAUCCAAAAUGUUAUCAAGAAGGAAAGAAAAGAUCUAGAGAAAUGUUGGUUGGAGAUUGAGGGUGAAAAGAAAAGAGUGGAGGAAGAAAUCAGACAAUUAGAGAGACAGAGAGAAGAAAGUAACAAACUUCACAGUGAGUUGCAAAUAAUUAGAGAUGACAUUAAAAGUAAUAAAGAAAAGAUUGAUGAAGAAAUGGAAAAAUUAUUGCAAAUGAGGGGUGACCUGGAAAGAACAAAAGAAGAAAUUGAAAAGGAUAAUCAACGACUUCAAGAUGAUAAAUUUUAUCUUGAAAAGACAAAAGCUGAGGCUGAAAUGAAAAUGAGGGACUUUGAUGAGACCAUAAAGGAGAUGGAGAGACAAAAGCAAGAAAUUGAACAAACAAAAGUAAUGCUUGAAAAGGUAAAGACUGAAACUGACAAAGAAAAGAAAGACUUUGAAAAACAAAUGAUGGAACAGACUGAGCAGAUACAAAAGGACAGACUGGCCCUUGAUGAGAUAAAGGGAGAACUUAUUUGUGAAAAACAAGAAACAAAGGAAGAGAAAAAUAACUUGAUGACUUUAAAAAACAAACUAGAAGUUUUAAGAGCAGAGAUACAGAACAAGCAAAAUGAGCAUGAAAUUUUAAAGAAGAAACUUAUUUUGGAAAAAUCAAACAUUGAGGAAUGGCAGGCAGAGGUACUCAACCAGCAGCGUCAAAAUGAUCAAACUAGUGAGGAAAACAAAAAAGAGAGAGAAAUUCUGAAAAAACUGAGAUUUGAAAAUGAACAGCAGAAACAGAUGGUGGAGCUUAGCAUCAUACAUAUGAAUGAAGAGAAGCAAAUACUUCAGAAGGCUAAAGAAGAAAUUGAAAACAUAAAAUGCAUUACCAACAAAAAAAGAGACAAGGUUGAACAAAUGCAAGGUGAAAUAAACCACCAGAUUCAGUCAAUUGAACUGCAAAAGCAACUAGUGCAAGACAAGCAGAAUGCUCUCGAUGAAAAAGAGCUAAACAUACAGAGAAAGGAAAAGGAAGAGGAGAAGAGAAACACUGAAUUAGAUAGAAUCGCUGCUCAGCUUCACAUUGAACAGGAACAUUUAGAUAAUAUUCUUGAGGAAACCAGUAAGAGGCAACAUGCCCUUGAAGAGAUGCAGGUUGAUAUAGAACAGCAAAAACAAGAAAAUAAUAAGGACUUUGAGUUGCUUAAGAAGAUACGGCAUGAAUUAGACAACAAAGAUAUAGAAAUGAAGCAGACAAACGAUGAUCUGCAGAUCUGGACUAAACAACAGGAAGAUAAGUUCCACAUCCAGUUAGAAGAGCUAGAAAAAGAAAGAGAACGACUGGAAACAGUUAAGAUAGAGCUUCUUACUGAAAGACAGCAAACUGAAAAAGAGAAAGCUGAUAUAACUAUGGUAAAUGAUGAAAUAGAAUCAAUGAGACAAAGAGUGAUAAUUCAAAAGACUGAGCUGGGGCAGAGAGAGAAAUAUAUUAAUGAGCAGCAGCAAAGACUGGAUCAAAGUGUAAGAGAGAUAACAGAAGAAAGAAGGGAAAUGGAUAAGUUGAGGAUUAAUCUAGAAUCUCAGAGACAAGGAAUGCAAGAGGACAUGACAACGAUUGCACAGCAGGAAAAAGAACUUGCACAACUGAGAGAUGAAAUACAAAGAGAAAAACAAGACAUUGAUGAAAACAGAAACAUGACUAACGAGAUAAUGAAAGCUCAGGAAAUCACAAAAGCCAAGCUGGAAGAACAACAAAAAGUGAUCCAAACUGAAGCAGAAAAACUCCAAGAGGAAAGAAAACUGGUUGACCAGACAAAAUCUGAGGUGCAGAAGGAUGCUGAAAAUCUGAAAAGCAUCUCUGAAGAGAUCAAAAGGGAGCAAGAAAAAAUAGACAUAAAGGAGGCCCACCUUAAACAAAUGAUGGAGAAAUGUGCCAACACCAUGGAAGAAAAUAAGAGGAAGAAAAGAGAACUAGAGAAAACUAUUUAUGACAUAGAAGAGCAAAAUCAACUGAUUAAGACAGAAAAAGACCAUCUUAAAAAAGAGAGAAUUAACAUUGAAAAGGAAAAAGAUGAUUUGCAAAGACAAGCUGAUGACCUAGAGAUGCACAUAACAGAACAAAAAGAAAAAGAAGAGAUGAGUAGAAGAUCAAUGGAUGAUGAGAAAAAGUUUUUGGAUGAAAGGGCUAACAAAAUUGUGAGACAGAGAGAUGAAAUAGAGAAAGAAAAAGAGGACAUGAUGAAGAAGUGGAAUGAGCUGGAUGUUCUCCAGAAGAUUUUACAAAAGCAAAGAGACGAAAUGGAAAAAAUCAAAUAUGAGUUACAGACUGAAAAGGCUGAAAAUAAUCAACAGCAGCAAAGACUGGAGAAGAGUAUAAGAGCUGUGAACGAGGAGAAGAGAGAUCUGGAAAACAUGAGAAAUGAUUAUGAAGAAUAUAGACAACAAGCAGAUGAAGAGAUAAGAGUAAAGCUAAUGAAGGAGAUAGAGGAACUUGAUCAGAUAAAGAGUGAUCUGGAAAGACAGAAAACAGAAAUAAAUCAUGAGAAAAAGAAGAUAUAUGAUGACGGAAAUAUGAUUGAAGAGGGAAAAAAUUACCUGGAGAAGAUGAGGUCUGAAAUAAUGUUACAAAGAAACCAACUAGAAGAAGAGAGAGCAGAACUUGACAACAAAAUAAAACAGACUGACCUAGAAAAAUCUAAUAUUGAGAAAAGCAAAGAAAUUGUACAGAAAUUAUUGGAUGAGGUGGAAGAACAGAGAAAUUACAUUAAUCUCCAUGAAAAACAACUGGAAAUUGAGAGACAAAAUAUUAAUGACGAAAAAGAUUUCCAGACUCAAAUAAAGACUAAACUGCAAAAAGAGAGUGAACAAAUCAGAUGCAUGGAAGAGGAAAUAAAGAAGGAGAGAGAAACACUGAAAGAAAUGGAAGCUGUUCUACGAAAGGAAAAAGGAGAAUUUGAGAGGGUCACUGAAGAAAUGAAUAGACAAAAAGAAAAUCUGGAAAUGAAAAGCGUAAAAAUAAAUGAACAAAAGCAAGAACUGACAAAAUACAGAGAGGUUCUAGAGCAAGAGAAAGAUGAAAUAAACCAUAAAUGGGCACAGUUGCAGCAGAGAAUUGAUGAAUUUGAUACUCAAGUCAGACAACAAAAGGAAAAGGAUUUAAUAGAACAGAACAAGAUGGAAAAAGAAAGAAAAAGCCUAGAACAAACCAAAGUCAAGAUCCUGGAGCUAAAGACUAAAGCUGAGCAGGAACAACAAGACAUACACCUAAAAAUACAAGAGUUGAACAUACUGCAAGAACAUAUUAUGAAAGAAAAGAAGAGAGAAGAAGAAAUGAGAGUAAAAUCAAAGAUGGAGAGAGAAGAACUUGAUCAGAUACAGAGGGAAUUAGAACAAGAGAAAACUGAAAUAGACAAUAACAGAAAGAUAAUUGAACAGGAAAGACAAGACCUCGAGAAAAAUAGGUCUCAAGCAAGAAUGCAGAGAGAACCAGUCGAAGAUAUGAAUAAAGUAAUCAAAUUAGAGAGAUCAGGACUUGUCCAGAAAACACAUGAAACUGAUGUAGAAAACAAUGAAAAGUACACAGAAAAAGUUCAGAAACUACUGGACCAGGUGGACGAACAGAGAAAUUAUAUUACACUUCAAAAAGAAGAAUUAGACUCAUUGAAAGAACAGAUUGUUAAAGAAAAAGAAGUGACCAUUAAAGCAAAGAUGGAAAGAGAGGAACUUGACCAGAUAAAGAGUGAACUAGAAAGAGAGAAAACUGAAAUUCAUCUUGAGCGGAAAAAAAUUUAUAAUGAUAUAAAGAUGAUGGAACAGGAAAGAAACUACCUGGAGAAGAUGAAGUCUGAAAUAGUAACACAAAGAGAACAAAUAGGAAAACACUUGACAGAGACUAUGAAACUAGAAAAAUCAGCACUUGAUCAGAAAAUGCAAGAGACUUGUUUAGAAAAGGAUGAAACUGAUGAAGUAGAAGAGCAGAGAAAUUAUUUUAAAUUCCAGAAAGUAGAACCUGACCUUGAAAGACAAAAGAUUGAUGAUGAAAAAUGUCUUCUAGCUCAAAGUAAAACAGAACUGCAAAAAGAAAGUGAACAAAUAAAAUACAUGGGGGAGGAAAUAAAGAAGGAAAGAGAAAUACUGAAGGAAAUGGAAGCUCAUCUACAAAAGGAAAAGGAAGAAAUUGAAAGUGUCACUGAAGAAACAAACAGACAGAGAGAGGAUCUAGAUGAACAAAAACAAGAGUUGAAGAGCAGCAGAGAUCUUCUAAUACAAGAAAGAGAAGAAAUAAACCAUAAAUGGGAAGAGUUACAACUGAGAAUUGAUGCAUUUGAUGCUCAAGACAACAAACGGAAGAAAGAAUAUCUAACAAACCAAAAGGAAAUAGAAGUAGAAAGCAAAGGUCUAGAAGAGAUCCAGCAGAUGAAGACUAAAGCUGAUCAGGAACAUCAUGAUGUAAACCUAAAAAUACAAGAGUUAAACACACUGCAAGUACAGAUUAUUGAAGAAAAAGAACAACUACAAGAAAUCAGAAAUAAGGUUUUAUUUGAAACAACAACACUUGAUAUGAGAGCUGCUGAGAUAAUUCAACAACAACAAACACUGGAUGAGAAUCUGAAACAGAUGAAAUAUGAGAGAAAUGAACUUCAUAGGAUGCAAAAGGAACUUCAGGCUGAAAGACACCAACUGGAAAACGAAAUGAAUACCAAAACUGGUGAAUUAAUCAGAGACAGACAGGAAAUUGAAAUAAUCAAGAACAUAAUAAACAAACAAAAAGAGGACAUGAACACCAUGAAAGCUAAACUUACUGCACAAGAAGAUGAAAUGCAAGGUGAAAAAGAAAAACUAAAUAAAGAGAGAAAAGAAUUUGAGCAAUUAAAGAGUGACACAGAAAGAGAGAAACAUGAACUCAGUAAGAAUAAAGUUAUCUUGAAUACACUAAACGAGGAACUUUGCUUGGAAAAGAAGCGAAUGAAUGACGAGAGGGAAGAGAUGGGAUUAAACAGUAAGAAGGUCCAAUUACAGAUACAGGCUGACAAAGAGAUGAUUGCUAAAAUGAAUGCCCAACUCCAAAGUGAGAAGGAUGAAUUUGACCAUAUUAGAAAAGAACUGACAGGGAAUACAGAAGAAAUGGAAAAAAAACGGGCAGCAUUAGAAGCAGAAAAACAAACCCUACAGCAAAAUAGCAAUGAAUUUUUGAGACAAAGGGAAGACACAGAAAAGGAAUUAGAGGGCAUUUUGAAAAAGAAAGAAGAAUUGGAAAAGCUUCAGACAGAAAUCCUGAAACAAAAAACUGAAUGUGACAGCAUUAUUACAGCAGAGAAAUAUUUACUUGAAAUGUUAAGAACUGAGUUAGAUCAUAAACAGCAGAAGAUGGAAGAUGACAGGAAGGUGAUUGAACAGGAAAGAAAAGAUUUGGAGAAGACAAAGUUUAAAAUAAUGACGCAAAAAGUGGAAAUGGAGAAAGAUCUGGAAAAGGGAAUAAAAUCAGAGAUUGCUGUAAAGGUCCCGAAAAUGCAAGAGACUGAUUUAGAAAAGGAUGAAAUUGAAAAGAAGAAAAAUAUAGUUCAGAAACUAAUGGAUGAGGCAGAGGAACAGAGUAAUUAUCUAAAACUUCAAGAAGAGGAAACCAAACUUGAAAAGCAAAAGAUCAGUGAUGAAAACGAUUUUCUUGCUCAAACUAAGACUGAACUGCAAAGAAAAAGUGAACAAAUUGCAAAUGCAGAAGAGGCAUUAAAGAAAGAGAGAGAAACUCUAAAGGAAAUGGAAGCUCAUCUACAAAAAGACAAAGAAGAAAUUAAGAGAGUCAUGGAAGAAACAAACAGACAAAAAGAAGAUCUAGAAAAAAUGAACAUUGACAUAAAUAAACAAAAACAAGAGCUCGAGGACUCUAGAGACCUUCUAGAAGAAGAAAGAGAAGCAUUAAACCAUAAAUGGACACAGUUACAACAGAGAACUGAUGAAUUUGAUGCUCAAGUCAGUAAACAGAAGAUGGAACAGGAAGAUGUUAUGAAGGAACAGAAAAAGGUGGAAGAAAAAAUAAAAAGUGUUGACGAAACAAAAGCUAAGAUCUUGGAGCCAAAGACUAAAGCUGAACAGGAACAGAUGAUGGAGAAAAAGAAACUUGAUCACAUAAAGAGCAAAAUGGAAAGAGAGAAAAUUGAAAUAGAUGAGCCAAAGAAAAUGGAUCAUGACAGCAAAAUGACUGAACAGGAAAUAAAAGACCUGCAUAAGAUGAGGUCUGACAUGAUGACAGAAAGAGAGCAAAUAGAAGACAUGGGAGAAGCAAUCAAACUAGAGAGUUCAGCACCUGACCAGAAAAUGGAAGAGACUGAUCUAGAAAAAGAUAAAAUUGAAAGAACCAAAGCAAAAGGUCAGAUAUCAAUAGAUAAAGGAGAAGAGCAGAUAAAUUAUAUUAAACUCCAGAAAGAAGAACUUGACCUUGAAAGACAAAAGAUCAAUGAUGAAAAAUUUCUUCUAGCUCAAAGUAAGACAGAGCUGCAAAAAGAAAGUGAACGAAUAAAAUACAUAGAGGAUGAAAUAAAGAAGGAAAGAGAAAUAUUGAAGGAAACCGAAGCUUAUCUACAGAAGGAAAAGGAAGAAAUUAAAAGUGUCGCUGAAGAAACAAACAGACAGAGAGAGAAUUUGGAAAAGAUCAGCAUAAACAUAAAUGAUCAAAAACAAGAGUUGAUUAAAUACAAAGAGUUUCAAAAACAGGAGAGAGAAGAACUGAACAUUAAAUGGACAAAGUUGCAGCAGAAACUUGAUCAUUUUGAUUCUCAAGUCAGACAACAGAAGGAACAAGACUUCAUGAAACAGAGCAAGAUGGAAGAAGAAAGUAAAAGUCUAGAACAGAACAAAAUCAAGAUCCUAGAGCUGAAGACUAAAGUUGAGAAGGAACAACAAGACAUAAGUCUAAAUAUACAAGAGCUGAACAUACUGCAAGAACAUAUUAUGAAAGAAAAGAAGAGAGAAGAAGAAAUGAGAGUAAAAUCAAAGAUGGAGAGAGAAGAACUUGAUCAGAUAAAGAGGGAAUUAGAAAAAGAGAAAACUGAAAUAGACAAUAACAGGAAGAUAAUCGAACAGGAAAAAGAAGACCUGGAGAAGAUUAGGUCUGAAAUUAUGACACAAAGAGAACAAAUGAAAGACAUGAGCAAAGCAAUCAAAUUAGAGAGAUCAGCACUUAACCAGAAAAUACAAGAGACUGAUCAACAUAAGGACGAAAUUGAAAAGAGCAAAGAAAUGGUUCAGAAAUCAAUGGAAGAAGUAGAAGAGCAGAGAAAUUAUAUUAAACUCCAGAGAGAAGAACUUGACCUUGAAAGACAAAACAUCACUGAUGAAAAAGGUCUUCUAGCUCAAAGUAAGACAGAACUGCAAAAAGAAAGUGAACAAAUAAAAUACAUGGAGGAGGAAAUAAAGAAGGAAAGAGAAAUACUGAAGGAAAUUGAAGCUUAUCUACAAAAGGAAAAGGAAGAAAUUGAAAGUGUCACUGAAGAAACAAAGAGAAAGAAAGAAGAUCUGGAAAAGAUGAGCACAAACAUAAAUGAACAAAAACAAGAGUUACAGAACUGCUCAGAACUUCUAAAAUCAGAAAGAGAAGAAAUAAAACUUAAAUGGACAGAGUUACAACAGAGAAUUGAUGAAUUUGAUGCUGAAGUCAGCAAACAGAUGAAAGAAUAUCUAACAGAACAAAAGGAAAUAAAAGAAGAAAGAAAAGACCUAGAAGAUACCAAAGUCAGAAUUCUGGAGCUAAAAACUAAAGCUGCACAGGAAUAUCAAGACAUAAGCUUAAAAAUGCAAGAGUUGAAUACACUGCAAGAACAUAUAAAGAAAGAACAAGAGAGAGAAGAAGAAAUGAGAGUAAAAAAUAAGAUGGAGAGAGAAGAAUUUGAUCGGAUAAAGAGUGAACUGGAAAGAGAGAAAACUAAAAUAGAUCAUGAGCAAAAGAAAAUGAAUGAUGCCAGAAAGAGCAUUGAACAGAAAAGCAAUGACCUGGAGAAGAUGCAGUCUGAAAUAAUGCUACAAAGAAAGCAAACAGAAAAAGAGAGAGCAGAACUUGACAACAAAAUAAAACAGACUGAUCUAGAGAACUCUAACAUUGAGAAAAGUAAAGAAAUUGUACAGAAAUUACUGGAUGAAGUGGAAGAACAGAGAAAUGAUAUUAAACUUCACAAAGAAGAAUUUGAAUUUAAAAGACAAAAGCUCAAUGAUGAAAAAGCAUUUCUGGCUCAAAUAAAGACUGAACUGCAAAAAGAAAGUGAGCAAGUAAGAUUCAAGGAAGAGGAAAUUAAUAAAGAGAGAGAAACGCUGGAAGAAAAGAAAGCUCAUCUACAAAAAGAAAAGGAAGAAAUUAAGAGCAUAACUGAAGAAACAAACAGACAAAAAGAAGAUCUGAAAAGGACAAACACAGACAUAAAUAAACAAAAACAAGAGUUAAAGAACUGCAGAGACCUUCUUGAAAAAGAAAGAGAAGAAAUAAACUAUAAAUGGAUAGAAUUACAACAGAGAAUUGAUGAAUAUGAGCAGUCAAAGUCUGAGUCUAUCAGGAAUGUUCUGGAGGAGUCCAGAAAGAAAGAAGAAAAAACUGAAAUUGAAGAAAGACUUAAACAGGCCAACAAGGAAUACGAAAAUGUCAUAGAAGAAACAAACAGGAGAAGGUGGGAAUUAGAGAAAAUUAUGUUUGAUAUAUCACAGCAAAAUCAAAACUUUGAUACAGAGAAAGAUCUUCUGGAAAAAGAGAGAAAUAACAUUGAAAAGGAAAGAGAAGCUUUGCAAAGACAAGCUGAUAACCUAGAGAUGCACAUGACAGAACAAAAAGAAAAAGAAGAGAUUAGUAAAAGAUCAAUGAAUGAAGAGAAGAUGCUUCUUGAGCACAAGGCUGGUGAAAUCUUGAGACAGAGAAAUGAAAUAGAGAAAGAAAAAGACGACAUAACAAAGAAGUGGAAUGAGCUGGAUGUUUUCCAGAAGAAAUUACAAAAGCAAAAAGACGAAAUUGAAGAAAUCAAAAAUCAUUUACACACUGAAAAGGCUGAAAUUUAUCAACAGCAGCAAAGUCUGGAGAAGUGUGUAAGAGCUGUGAAUGAGGAGAGGAGAGAUCUGGAGAACAUGAGGGAUGAUUAUGAAAAAUACAAACACCAAAUGGAAGAAGAGAUGAGAGUAAAAGCAAAGAUGGAUAGAGAGGAACUUGACCAACUGAUGGCCAAGAUAUUGACAGAACAAAAAGAAACUGAUAGGAGCAAGGAUAUGAUAGACCAUCUAAAAAAGGAAAUGGAGCAAACAAAAGCUGAACUCAGAGCUCAAGAGGAGAAAAUCAAACUAGAAUUGCAAAUAUUGCAAAAUGAGAGGAAAUAUCUGGAAGAGUCCAAGGCUAAAAUUAAGAGACAGACUGAUAAAACAGAGAUCAUGAAAGAGCAGACAAGCCAGUUAGAAAAAGAGAAAGAUGUGUCUGAAACAUUAAAAGCAGAACAUCUAUCUGGACGGCUGAGAGAAGAAAUGGCCUCUCAAAGAAAACAUAUACAGAUAGAUGAAGUCAAGAGACUCUUGUCUGAAAUUCAAAGGGGAAAGGAAGAACUGGAAAGAAACAAAACAAUCAUUGAACAUCAAAGAGAGGCACUGGAUGAAAUGAAGAAAAAACAACCAAGACAGAGACUAGAAGUAAUUUUGGUUAGUUCUGCUACACAAACAUCUAAACUAGACGACAUAACUGUAGGUGACAUUUCAGCCCCUCAGGAACAGAUUGCUGAGGAAUGCAGAGGCAUUCAUAAGGAAUAUACAACUUUAAUCACAAAAGGGACUGAAGAUGAAUUAGAGAGAAUGAGAGAUCAGGAGGACACAGAUCGCAAAAUGAAAAGUGAAGAAACAAAAAUGUACUCAAGCCAAGAAGACACUGCUCUGACAACAGAAUAUAAAGAUAUACCUGAUCCAUCCAUGACAGAAAAGUUGGAGUUCAAUAAAGAUGAAGCGGAUGGCCUUACUGAAAUGCUGAUGACUGAGAAGAGGGAACUAGAAAAGACAAGACUUGUUUUACAAAGAGACCAGAAAGAGAUUGAGACAAUGAAACAACAUUGCCACAGAGAGAAGAAUAAUCUAGAUAAAUAUAAAGCAGCUCUUGAAAAACAAUAUGAAGAGAUGGAGAUAUGCAGACAGAAUAUGGAAAAUGAAAAAUCUGAGUUAGAAAUGACUCAAGAUAAAAUAAAGAUGGACAUGGAAAAAAUUCAAAUGGAGAUCAAGAGCAAACAGGAAAGAAUUGAAAACAUGGAAGUUCAACUUCAAGAAAAGAAGAGAGAAAUGGAAACCAUCUCUUUGGAGAUGAAACAGAGACAAGAGGAGUUGGAUUUCAUAAACAUAGAGAUAAAAAGAAUGAGACAAAAGAUGGUGGAAACCAAAGAAAUGAAGGAACAAGAGUUUACUGCCAUACCUCCAGAUAGAGAAGACUCUAUAAAAAGACACCUGGAAGAAAUACAGAACCAAAAUGAGGCAUUACGGAAUGAGAGGGCUGAAGUUGAAAAAAUACUCUCUGGACUGCAGAAGGAGCAAAUGGAAAUGGAGAUGCUUCAGGCAAUGCUGAACUCAGAAAAACUUGAAUUGAAUAGAAUGAGAGUCAAUCUGGAGACACAAAAAGAGGAGUUUAUUCUUAUGCAACAAAACAUACAAACUGAAAGAGACAAGCUGGAAUCAAGGUUAAGCAGUGCAGAGAACGUAGAGAGACUUUUGGAUGCUGUACUGAAAGAAAAGGAAAAGGUAGUAGAAAUGACAGCUGAACUAUUCAAAGAACAGGAAGAGAUUAAAAUUACUAUGACUGAGUCAAAUAAAUGGAUAAACAAGAUUAAACAAUUUGAGGAGGAAAUUAAAGCAAAGCAAAAAGAAAUUGAGCAAACUGAAGAACUUAGACAAAAAGAGCUUUAUCUAAAGAGAGCAGAAUUUGAAAAAAUUAAGACUGAACUUGACAAUGAAAGAGAAGAAAUUCAGAAGAUACGAAAGGAAUGUGAGAAAGAAAAACAUGAACUAGAGCAAAUGAAAACAGAUUUGCAGAAAGAAGAACCAGAGAAAACCAGUGUAGAAGUGCAAUACGAUGAAACACAUAGUGUUAUGUACACACUGAAAGAAGAGAAAGAAGAAAUAGAAAGAUUGAAAGCUGACCUCCAGAAUGAGCAGAGAGUAACUGAAAACCUCAUAGACAUUAUAAAAAGAGAGAAGGGUGAGCUGGAACAGGAAAAAGCUAAAAUGCAGCAAAGUACUUCAGAAAUAAGGGACACGCACAGUGACAAGAACUUACAAGAUGAAAUUAUGCAGGUUGAAGCAAUCCUCAAUGAAACCAGGAUACAGAAGAAUGUCUUAGUACAGAUGAAUGACAAUUUGAUCAGGGAAAAAUCUGAACUGGAAAGCAUUUGUCAGUUUCUAGAAAACGAAAAGAGAGAGGCAGAAGCUAAAUUUAACGAACUGAAUAUUAAGCUUAAAGAAUUAGAAAAUCUACAAAAGUCCAAAACAGAGGAGCAAAAGGCAGAGAAGAAAAAUCUGGAGAAAAUCAAGGAUGAGAUGACUAAAGAACGUGAAAAAAUUAAAAAGGAAAAUGAAGAUUUAAGAACGAGAAGGGAUGAGCUGCUGCACAUCAAAGACGAAAUUCAAAAGCAGACAAAAGACCUAGAAGAAAUGAUGAACAAAGUCAAAAUAGAGAAGAGUGAGCUAGACCAAAAGAGGAGUAACAUAUGCAAACAAAAACAACAACUGGAAGACAAUGAGAAAGCUGCAGAAAUAAAGUGGGUUGAGACACAGAUAGCUGCGGAAAGGUCCAGACAAGAUGAAGAAGACAUGCAAACUGAGAGAAAAAGAAUAGCACAUCUGAAAGAUCAAUUACUGAAAGAGAAAGAGAAUGUUGAAACCACCAAAGAGAAAAUUAAUAGAGACAUGGAACACAUUGAAAAGAUGCAAACCCAAUUAAAAGACCAAAAAGAAGAGAUAAAGCUUGAAAAGCUAAAAUUAGAAGACACAAGAGCUGAGAUUAAAGACAAGACAAAUGCUUUAGAGAAAAUUAUGCAGGACUUACAAAAAGAGAGAGAAAAUCUAAAUGAUUUAGUUAUUCAACAACAAAAAGAAAGAGAGGAUAUGGAUAAACUAGCAGAGGAAAACAAAAGAAAAGAGAAGCAUGCUGAAGUUGAGAUACAAAGACAGUUAGAGGACAUAGAAAAUGUCAAGGUGAGUUUGGCAAAAGAAAGGAAUCGAAUUGAACAGAUGAAUGCAGAAAAACAGACCAAACAUGAAGAACGAGAGGAAAUUAUCAGACAACAGCAAGAGGAGAUUAAAAAAAAAGAGAAUGACAUGCAAAGAGAAAGAAAGGCUUUAGAGAAAAUGAAUGUUGAGCUAGAAAGGAAAACCACUGAAAUGCAAAAUAAAAGAGAGAAAGUAACUAUCUGGGAAGCAGAUUUACAGAAACAGAAAACCAAAGUAGAAGAGUUAAGGAACAUCUUGGAAAGAGAGAAAAGUGAACUCGACAGAGAGAAAGCAGAAGUAAAACAAGAAAAACUAGAGAUGGAAAACAUUCUGAAAACCAUCAAGAGUGAGUUGAAAGACCUAGAACAAUUGAGAAAUAAAUCUGAGGAGGAGAAGAAAGAUAUGCUGGACAAACUGUUAACAGAAAAACAUGAAGUGGAUCAAUUAAAAACUGAGUUACAAUUGGAGAGGAAGACCAUUGAAGAGGAAAAGAAAAUUCUGAAGCAGUUGAUGAACGAAACUGAAAAUAAAAGAUCUCAACUGGACAGCAACAUUGUGCAAAUAACCAUGGACCAACUAAAUAUUCAAAAAGAAAAAGACUCGCUGGAAGAGAUCAAGGCAGAUUUACAAAGAAAAUCUGAAAAGCUUAAUGAGGAAAUCUGGAAAACAGACCAAAACACCUCUCAAAUCAGUAAAGAAAAAGAGGACAUUUCGAAGAGACUGGAUGACAUGAGAAAAAAAGAAGAAGAGCUCAAUACUAUGCGUGCUGACAUUGAAAGGCAGACAAAGCUUCUGCAAUCAGAUCGACUGCAACUUCAGGCACAAAAAGAAAAUUUAGAAAAGAGCAGAGCAGAGAAUGUCACUCUAAGAGAAGAUCUUGAAAAACAAAAAGAAAAGAAUGACUUGACAUUGCAAGAACUGCGCAAAGAGAGGCUGGACUUGGAGAAUAAGAUUACUGAUAUAACACAUCUAAGAGGCACCGUGGAAAGCACACAGAAUGAAAUACAACUUAAAGAACAGGAUCUGCAAAACAAAGAAAGAGAACUUGACGUGCAGAGAAAAGAUGUAGAUAACCUAAGAAACACUGUGAUGGCUGAGAAAAUGCAGCUAGAAAAGAAGCAAAAUGAUAUGAAUCAACAGCAGCGGGAGGUUGAUGACUUAAUUACUGAAAACAGAAAAAUGAGAAAUUAUUUAGAAAGCCUGAAAACUCACCUGGAGCAAGAGAGACGACAACUACAAGAAAAAAUCCAAACAAUUGAAGAUAAGAAGAAUGUGUUUGAUCAAAUCAAAGUUGAUGCAAAGCAACAGACCGAUGAGCUUGAGAAAAUCACAGCAGAUACAAAGAGGGAAAAGGAAAGAGAGGAGACUGAUGCUUUAAAGAAAGAAAUCCAGAGUAGGAAAUAUGAACUGCAAAGUUUGAAUUUUGAGAUUGAAAGGUCCAAGCAAGAAAUGGCAGAAAACAGAGAUCAGUUUGAAAAAGAGAUGGAAAAUUUAAAGCAGAAAAGAACAGAUAUACUCACAGAAAUUAAUCAGCAAGCCAAGAACAAAACAGCAGUGGAGACUGAAAAAGAGAUCCAAAUGGUCACAGAGGAUGUUGGAGAAGAAAAGACAGAUGCUGAAUUUCAGGCUGAUCUUCAGAAACAGAAGGCUGAACUAGAAGAACUGAGGAACACAAUUGAGGUGGAAAAAUAUCAGAUUGAAAAGAAAAAGCUCACAUUAGAUCAACAGCAGCAGGAAUUAGAAGACAUCAUGGCAGUCAUCAAACGAGAGAGAGACGUGAUUGAGAAAGAGAAGUAUGGACUUGAUGAACAUAGACAUUUCCUCAAUAAAAACAUGCAGACAAAACAAGAAGAACUUGAAAAGCUUAAUAAUGAUAUUCAAAAGGUCAAAGAGGAGAUUGAAAUCAGCAAAAAGAUCAUUGAGAAUGAAAAAUUUUGUAUUGAAAAGGAGAAAGCUGAUUUAAACAGACUGAAGGAAGUGGCUGAAGUCAGCAAACAAAGCAUACAACAUGAGAGAACUUUGCUGCAACAAGAUAAAGACUUGUUGCAGAAAGAAAAAGAGGACAUGGAAGGCCUUAUAGAAGAAAAGACAAGAACAAUGGAGGAAUUGCAAGAGCAAAUAAACCGACAAUUAUCUGAAGUGAAUAUGUUAAACAUGGAGAUUCAAGCAAAGAGACAGGAGGCAGAAAUCCAUCUCUUACCAGAAGAGAUAAAGACAAAAGAUCACUCAAAGAGGGAUGCUGAUCUCGUAAGAGAGGAAGUAGAAGUACAGAAACAAAAAACAGAAAAACUUGAGAUACAUCAAAUGAAGACCACCUCAACAGAUGCUGAAACACAAACAUCUUUCGAUGACUUUAGAAAAACAGAUGAUAGCAGACAAAAGGAAUUAAAAGAUGAAACAGAUGCAACAAAGAAAAAACAACCCACUGUGACAAAGUCAGAGAACGCAAACUUAUCUGAAGACUCUUUUUUGGAAAACAUACAGACGAUGAUGAAAAAAGAGAGACAUGAACUGGAACAAGCAAAAUCUGAUUUCCAAAAGCAGAGGGAAGACUUUGAGAGAAAUAUAAAGGAAGUCACUAAGGAGAAGUCAAGAAUUGAAGACAAACUGCUACGACUUACACAAGACAAGGAGGAUUUGUCAAAUGACCUUGAUAAGAAAAAUAAGGAAAUAGAGAGCAUCACAGAAACAUUCAUGAGAAAGUUGGGACAACUGGAAAAGACUUUAGCGUCACUGAAAAAAGAGAAGGAAAACAUUGAAAAUGAGUUGCUUCAACAAAAGCGAAAUGAAGAGAGGCUGAAAAUUAAGGUAAAAACAGAUGAUACUUCCAUUAGAAGUGACAAGGAUGCUGAGAAAGUCAUACAACAAGUACAAGACACUAAAGAGGAGGAAAAGACAGACAAAGACAGCAGUCUGGAACUGACCGAGAUUUAUUGGGUUGAUGCAGAGGGAGAAACAGAAGCACAAACCUCUAAAACUGACACCCAAGGAGAGAUUCUUCAGCAAAUUGAGGGCACGAACCUAGAUGAACUAAAUAUCAUGAGAGCUGAACUACAGAGGCAACGUGAUGAAACAGAGAACCAAAUGAAGGUCAUACAAACUGGCUUUAUUGAGCUUGAGAAGGCAAAGGAUCACUUGCAUAAACUGAAAGAUGAAUGUAAAACCGCUGAAGAAGAAAAGUCAGCGUUCAUGGAAAGUCUCGAGAGGAGGAGGAACAGCCUGGAGAAGGUUCAAGUCGAGGUACUGAGACUUACCCUAGAGACCGAGCAUCUCACACGAAGCUAUGAAUGCAAAAGAAGAGAGCUGCAACAAAUUGAGGCUGACGUACAAAUACAGACAAGGACUGUGAAGACUCAACAGAAAAGCAAAAUUCAGAGUGAACAAGAAGACCAAGAAGUAAUAGCGACUACAAAAUUAAUUCAAGAGCAAACAGAGGAUGUUAAGCAGAGGAGAACUCAAGAGACACAAACUGAAGACCAAGAAAGAGAUGCUCUACCACAGUAUGAAGAGAUAGAUGCAAUGAAAAGGAGAAUACAGGAAAUGAAAGAUGAACUAAAGAACAGAUUACAAGACAUACAGAGGAAGGAACUGGAAAGACUUGGAAUGCAGAGAGAAAAAAUCGAGUUAGAGCUAAGGAAAGUUGAAAUGGAAAGAUAUAAUGAAGCCCUCCAACGUGAGAGAGAAACUGACAGACUCAAGCUCAUAGAAAAGGAAAAGGAAAUACUUCUGUUAAGGGAGUGUAUGCUGAUUGAGAUCAAUCGAUUGAAGAGCGAAGAAUCAGAAACAAGUAGUCAGCGACUGGAGAUUAUGGAAGGCCUCAUUAGCGAUGCGGCACUAAGAGUGGAUAGAUUCAGAAGGGUUACGGACAGAGCCGUGCAAACGCUGAUGCUGGAAGGAGAUCAGUUUGGAGGAGCUCAAAGAGUGAGGACUGAACAGAUGGGAAGUGUCAUUGGAAGGAUGGAGAUUUCCAUGGAUGCCCUGAGUGAAGACAGGGGGGAAGGAGCGAGAGGAGAAUCCCAGAGAGAGGGUGUAGUUGGGUCAACUACACGGAGAUUACGGCUACUGCACUGGAUCAGACGGCGCUGCUGUUGCUGCUGUCCCAGAAACACUGUGGAGGACACCGAGGACAUUUUAUAAACACAGGUCUUGUUUAUUUACGAGUACAUUUUUAUAUGGAAUUUGACAGAAACUGCAUUAUCAGUAUUUUUCUUUAUGUAUUUAUCCAGAAAUACUGGAUAACAUAACUAUUUAGUAACGCAAUUGCAGAUUAUUUGCAUAAUACCAAAUGUUUAAUGUUUAUCACAGUUUAUAUAAUUCAAUAAUUCAGUUGUGUAUUUUCAAAGCAAAACCCAGGUGCUUGCAUAAGCCAGAAUGUAUCUUUCACGAUUACAUACAGAACCAUCUAAGUAAUUGACUCCUUAAAUAUCUCAUUAGCAUAAUGUGUGUGUGUGUGUGUGUGUAUGCAUCUUCUGUUUUUAAGUAAUGUGUCAGUAAUGCAGUCUCAGUCAUCUGAUCCUGAAAUUAUUUGUUUGGAUUACUCAUAGGUGUCUUGUGUUCUGUAAGUCUUUCCAAAAGAAAUGAAGUGUUGUGCACUGUUAAUUGGCGACUCGGGAAACUUCUGCACCAUUUGUGGAAAAAGCAAAGCUCACCUGUAAUGUUCAAAGGAGUGUUGCAGAUGUGUCCUGUAUAACGUGGAUGCACAGAAGCCGCUGUGAGCGAUGAUUUUCACAGUAUGCCAAAGAGUUGUCAGUGAUCCACAUCGGUAGGAUAACUACAGAGGCCAUUUAAUUACCAACUGAGCAAAAGGAGAGCUUUGUUUAAAAAUCGUGCUAUGCAUUUUUAGAAGACAACACCAUCAGGCCUCCAUUAAGAGGAUCAAACACCCAUGAAUUCCAAAACAAUUAUAUUCUAAUUUAAGUGUAUCCCAGACUGGUACUGUAUACAAACACACACACUCACACACACACACACAUAGAACUUUUCUUUUUUCUUUUACAAUGUAUUGCUUAAAUUUGUAUCACACACAAACUAAAUAUUAUUUGCAUUUGCCUUGCCUUAGAAUGAAAUAAACACAAUUCUGAACCUAAA